UCGUCUAUAUACGUAUAGCAUAUCAAUAAGCGGAGGAAAAGAAACUAACUAGGAUUCCCUCAGUAACGGCGAGUGAAGCGGGAAGAGCUCAAAUUUGAAAUCUUCAAGGUUUUACCUUGACGAAUUGUAGUUUAAAGAAGUGUUUUCUGUUGGAAUUUUGGUAAAAGUUCUUUGGAAAAAGACAUCAAAGAGGGUGAGAAUCCCGUAUUUGACCAUUAUUUCCAGCUUUGUGAUACACUUUCAAAGAGUCGGAUUGUUUGGGAAUGCAGUCCAAAAUGGGUGGUAAAUUUCAUCUAAAGCUAAAUACUGGCGAGAGACCGAUAGCGAACAAGUACCGUGAGGGAAAGAUGAAAAGAACUUUGAAAAGAGAGUUAAACAGUACGUGAAAUUGUCAAAAGGGAAGCGUUUGACACCAGUGUUGUUUUCUCGAAAAUCAAUUAAAAAAGAUUGGAUUUUGUGUUGUAUUGACUUUAUCAGCUUUCUGCACUCUUUUCUUGUCUUUUUUAAUGCACUUUUCGUUUAACAAGUCAACAUCAAUUUCUUUUGUUGUAAAAGGGUCAUUGGAAGGUGGCUUUCUUUUCGGAGAAAGCGUUUAUAGCCUUUGACUUCUGCAAUAGGAGAGAUUGAGGUCUGCAGCGUAGAUCCUUCGGGGUUAGAUGCAUUUGUGCUAAGUUAUAGCCUUUCAUAGACAACUUGUUGACUAUGAUCAGUCAUGUAGCUUACUCGCUUAUGUUAUUUUACCUACGCUUAGGAUGUUGACGAUCAGCUGAGCGCG
rnacentral:rRNA from 1 species